CCUACGGGUGGCAGCAGUGAGGAAUAUUGGUCAAUGGGCGUAAGCCUGAACCAGCCAAGUCGCGUGAGGGAUGAAGGUUCUAUGGAUCGUAAACCUCUUUUAUAAGGGAAUAAAGUGCGGGACGUGUCCCGUUCUGUAUGUACCUUAUGAAUAAGGAUCGGCUAACUCCGUGCCAGCAGCCGCGGUAAUACGGAGGAUCCGAGCGUUAUCCGGAUUUAUUGGGUUUAAAGGGUGCGAAGGCGGCCAUUUAAGUCAGCGGUGAAAGUCUGUGGCUCAACCAUAGAAUUGCCGUUGAAACUGGGAGGCUUGAGUAUGUUUGAGGCAGGCGGAAGGCGUGGUGUAGCGGUGAAAUGCGUGGAUAGCACGCAGAACGCCGAUUGCGAAGGCAGCAUGCCAGGGCGUGACUGACGCUGAUGCACGAAAGCGUGGGGAUCAAACAGGAUUAGAUACCCAAGUAGUC
rnacentral:rRNA from 1 species